rfam:Octopus bimaculoides Scaffold2412_contig_83, whole genome shotgun sequence.
ACCACUUCUCAGCAUAUUCGGUAGGAUAAAAAUUUAAUAUCUGUUCUGUUCCAACCAGCUUUAAAAUCUGAUGUGUUCUUAAUAUGAGAACUUCGAUUUUAAAUUGAAUUUUGAUUAUCGACGAAGAUGUUGGUGUUUGUUCCAUCUUUGCUAUGAUCUGAUUUCGUAUUGCAAAAAUGAGAUACGUGUUGUAGCAC